rnacentral:rRNA from 1 species
AACGCUAGCUACAGGCUUAACACAUGCGAGUCGAGGGGCAGCAUGGUCUUAGCUUGCUAAGGCCGAUGGCGACCGGCGCACGGGUGAGUAACACGUAUCCAACCUGCCGUCUACUCUUGGACAGCCUUCUGAAAGGAAGAUUAAUACAAGAUGGCAUCAUGAGUCCGCAUGUUCACAUGAUUAAAGGUAUUCCGGUAGACGAUGGGGAUGCGUUCCAUUAGAUAGUAGGCGGGGUAACGGCCCACCUAGUCUUCGAUGGAUAGGGGUUCUGAGAGGAAGGUCCCCCACAUUGGAACUGAGACACGGUCCAAACUCCUACGGGAGGCAGCAGUGAGGAAUAUUGGUCAAUGGGCGAGAGCCUGAACCAGCCAAGUAGCGUGAAGGAUGACUGCCCUAUGGGUUGUAAACUUCUUUUAUAAAGGAAUAAAGUCGGGUAUGCAUACCCGUUUGCAUGUACUUUAUGAAUAAGGAUCGGCUAACUCCGUGCCAGCAGCCGCGGUAAUACGGAGGAUCCGAGCGUUAUCCGGAUUUAUUGGGUUUAAAGGGAGCGUAGAUGGAUGUUUAAGUCAGUUGUGAAAGUUUGCGGCUCAACCGUAAAAUUGCAGUUGAUACUGGAUAUCUUGAGUGCAGUUGAGGCAGGCGGAAUUCGUGGUGUAGCGGUGAAAUGCUUAGAUAUCACGAAGAACUCCGAUUG